AGCGUACACGGUGGAUGCCCUGGCAGUCAGAGGCGAUGAAGGACGUGCUAAUCUGCGAUAAGCGUCGGUAAGGUGAUAUGAACCGUUAUAACCGGCGAUUUCCGAAUGGGGAAACCCAGUGUGAUUCGUCACACUAUCAUUAACUGAAUCCAUAGGUUAAUGAGGCGAACCGGGGGAACUGAAACAUCUAAGUACCCCGAGGAAAAGAAAUCAACCGAGAUUCCCCCAGUAGCGGCGAGCGAACGGGGAGCAGCCCAGAGCCUGAAUCAGUGUGUGUGUUAGUGGAAGCGUCUGGAAAGGCGCGCGAUACAGGGUGACAGCCCCGUACACAAAAAUGCACAUGCUGUGAGCUCGAUGAGUAGGGCGGGACACGUGGUAUCCUGUCUGAAUAUGGGGGGACCAUCCUCCAAGGCUAAAUACUCCUGACUGACCGAUAGUGAACCAGUACCGUGAGGGAAAGGCGAAAAGAACCCCGGCGAGGGGAGUGAAAAAGAACCUGAAACCGUGUACGUACAAGCAGUGGGAGCCUCUUUAUGGGGUGACUGCGUACCUUUUGUAUAAUGGGUCAGCGACUUAUAUUCUGUAGCAAGGUUAACCGAAUAGGGGAGCCGAAGGGAAACCGAGUCUUAACUGGGCGUUAAGUUGCAGGGUAUAGACCCGAAACCCGGUGAUCUAGCCAUGGGCAGGUUGAAGGUUGGGUAACACUAACUGGAGGACCGAACCGACUAAUGUUGAAAAAUUAGCGGAUGACUUGUGGCUGGGGGUGAAAGGCCAAUCAAACCGGGAGAUAGCUGGUUCUCCCCGAAAGCUAUUUAGGUAGCGCCUCGUGAAUUCAUCUCCGGGGGUAGAGCACUGUUUCGGCAAGGGGGUCAUCCCGACUUACCAACCCGAUGCAAACUGCGAAUACCGGAGAAUGUUAUCACGGGAGACACACGGCGGGUGCUAACGUCCGUCGUGAAGAGGGAAACAACCCAGACCGCCAGCUAAGGUCCCAAAGUCAUGGUUAAGUGGGAAACGAUGUGGGAAGGCCCAGACAGCCAGGAUGUUGGCUUAGAAGCAGCCAUCAUUUAAAGAAAGCGUAAUAGCUCACUGGUCGAGUCGGCCUGCGCGGAAGAUGUAACGGGGCUAAACCAUGCACCGAAGCUGCGGCAGCGACACUAUGUGUUGUUGGGUAGGGGAGCGUUCUGUAAGCCUGUGAAGGUGUGCUGUGAGGUAUGCUGGAGGUAUCAGAAGUGCGAAUGCUGACAUAAGUAACGAUAAAGCGGGUGAAAAGCCCGCUCGCCGGAAGACCAAGGGUUCCUGUCCAACGUUAAUCGGGGCAGGGUGAGUCGACCCCUAAGGCGAGGCCGAAAGGCGUAGUCGAUGGGAAACAGGUUAAUAUUCCUGUACUUGGUGUUACUGCGAAGGGGGGACGGAGAAGGCUAUGUUGGCCGGGCGACGGUUGUCCCGGUUUAAGCGUGUAGGCUGGUUUUCCAGGCAAAUCCGGAAAAUCAAGGCUGAGGCGUGAUGACGAGGCACUACGGUGCUGAAGUAACAAAUGCCCUGCUUCCAGGAAAAGCCUCUAAGCAUCAGGUAACAUCAAAUCGUACCCCAAACCGACACAGGUGGUCAGGUAGAGAAUACCAAGGCGCUUGAGAGAACUCGGGUGAAGGAACUAGGCAAAAUGGUGCCGUAACUUCGGGAGAAGGCACGCUGAUAUGUAGGUGAAGCGACUUGCUCGUGGAGCUGAAAUCAGUCGAAGAUACCAGCUGGCUGCAACUGUUUAUUAAAAACACAGCACUGUGCAAACACGAAAGUGGACGUAUACGGUGUGACGCCUGCCCGGUGCCGGAAGGUUAAUUGAUGGGGUCAGCGCAAGCGAAGCUCUUGAUCGAAGCCCCGGUAAACGGCGGCCGUAACUAUAACGGUCCUAAGGUAGCGAAAUUCCUUGUCGGGUAAGUUCCGACCUGCACGAAUGGCGUAAUGAUGGCCAGGCUGUCUCCACCCGAGACUCAGUGAAAUUGAACUCGCUGUGAAGAUGCAGUGUACCCGCGGCAAGACGGAAAGACCCCGUGAACCUUUACUAUAGCUUGACACUGAACAUUGAGCCUUGAUGUGUAGGAUAGGUGGGAGGCUUUGAAGUGUGGACGCCAGUCUGCAUGGAGCCGACCUUGAAAUACCACCCUUUAAUGUUUGAUGUUCUAACGUUGACCCGUGAUCCGGGUUGCGGACAGUGUCUGGUGGGUAGUUUGACUGGGGCGGUCUCCUCCUAAAGAGUAACGGAGGAGCACGAAGGUUGGCUAAUCCUGGUCGGACAUCAGGAGGUUAGUGCAAUGGCAUAAGCCAGCUUGACUGCGAGCGUGACGGCGCGAGCAGGUGCGAAAGCAGGUCAUAGUGAUCCGGUGGUUCUGAAUGGAAGGGCCAUCGCUCAACGGAUAAAAGGUACUCCGGGGAUAACAGGCUGAUACCGCCCAAGAGUUCAUAUCGACGGCGGUGUUUGGCACCUCGAUGUCGGCUCAUCACAUCCUGGGGCUGAAGUAGGUCCCAAGGGUAUGGCUGUUCGCCAUUUAAAGUGGUACGCGAGCUGGGUUUAGAACGUCGUGAGACAGUUCGGUCCCUAUCUGCCGUGGGCGCUGGAGAACUGAGGGGGGCUGCUCCUAGUACGAGAGGACCGGAGUGGACGCAUCACUGGUGUUCGGGUUGUCAUGCCAAUGGCACUGCCCGGUAGCUAAAUGCGGAAGAGAUAAGUGCUGAAAGCAUCUAAGCACGAAACUUGCCCCGAGAUGAGUUCU
rnacentral:rRNA from 1 species